rnacentral:rRNA from 1 species
UACAGAGGGUGCGAGCGUUAAUCGGAAUCACUGGGCGUAAAGGGUGCGUAGGCGGGUCUUUAAGUCAGGGGUGAAAUCCUGGAGCUCAACUCCAGAACUGCCUUUGAUACUGAGGAUCUUGAGUUCGGGAGAGGUGAGUGGAACUGCGAGUGUAGAGGUGAAACUCGUAGAUAUUCGCAAGAACACCAGUGGCGAAGGCGGCUCACUGGCCCGAUACUGACGCUGAGGCACGAAAGCGUGGGGAGCAAACAGG